rnacentral:rRNA from 1 species
AGCGAACGCUGGCGGCAGGCUUAACACAUGCAAGUCGAACGGGCAUAGCAAUAUGUUCGUGGCAGACGGGUGAGUAACGCGUGGGAACGUACCUUUUGGUUCGGAACAACACAGGGAAACUUGUGCUAAUACCGGAUAAGCCCUUACGGGGAAAGAUUUAUCGCCGAAAGAUCGGCCCGCGUCUGAUUAGCUAGUUGGUAGGGUAAUGGCCUACCAAGGCGACGAUCAGUAGCUGGUCUGAGAGGAUGAUCAGCCACAUUGGGACUGAGACACGGCCCAAACUCCUACGGGAGGCAGCAGUGGGGAAUAUUGGACAAUGGGCGAAAGCCUGAUCCAGCCAUGCCGCGUGAGUGAUGAAGGCCCUAGGGUUGUAAAGCUCUUUUGUGCGGGAAGAUAAUGACGGUACCGCAAGAAUAAGCCCCGGCUAACUUCGUG